rnacentral:rRNA from 1 species
AGCAGCCGCGGUAAUUCCAGCUCCAAUAGCGUAUAUUAAAGUUGUUGCAGUUAAAAAGCUCGUAGUUGAAUUUCGGGAUUAAUUUACUGGUCGUGCUAUUGUACGUACUGGUUUUAUUGAUUCCUCCCUUCUGACGAACUAUGAUGCCAUUAAUUUGGUGUCAUAGGGAAUCAGGACUGUUACUUUGAAAAAAUUAGAGUGUUUAAAGCAGGCUCA